rnacentral:misc_RNA from 1 species
AUGGUCCGCCCUGGAAGCG